UACGUAGGUGACAAGCGUUGUCCGGAUUUACUGGGCGUAAAGAGCGCGCAGGCGGUCGUUCAAGUCGAGUGUGAAAGCCCCCGGCUCAACUGGGGAGGGUCAUUCGAUACUGAUCGACUCGAAGGCAGGAGAGGGUAGUGGAAUUCCCGGUGUAGUGGUGAAAUGCGUAGAUAUCAGGAGGAACACCCGUGGCGAAAGCGGCUCUCUGGGACGGUACUGACGCUGAGACGCGAAAGCGUGGGGAGCAAACAGG
rnacentral:rRNA from 1 species